AAUCAGGGCUACGGGAAGGAUGGGGUCCUCAAGCAACAGAGCUGUCCUGCAGAUGGCGGUGGUGGCUUUGGCUCUUACCCAAACAGGUGCUGGCAGAAACAGUGAUUAAGGCUCUGAUGCUUCUUUCACCAUUUAGAAAGAUUAGGAUGAUUUUAUGGAACAGAUGGUUCUACCUACAUUCAAAGUGCAUCUUUCCGACUCAUUGGAAUCCCUUUAGAGAUACCUUCCCAGACAUGCCCAGAGGUGUGCAUUGAAGAUGAUUCCAAAUGGAGUCCAGUUAACACUGAAGAUUAUCCGUAGCAAUCAUGUAAUUCUCCCAUGAGCCAUGGUAUUAACUGACUCACUUUGCAUGUGUGAUAGUGAUGCAGGGCAUGAUCCUUCCUUAGUCCUGAGAUUUCACCAUGUUCAAGAUCCUUCUCAAUGAACUCUUAACAUCCUUGUUUCUCAGACUAUAAAUGAAGGGGUUCAGAGUGGGUGUUACCAGAGUAUACAUGACAGCAGCUACCACCUCCUGAGAGGAGUGAGAACUAGAUGGGGGCUUCAGGUAGGUAGCAAAGACUGUGCUGUAGAAAAGGAGGACUACAGAGAGGUGGGAACUACAUGUGGCCAGGGCUUUCCGUUUCCCCUGUGCUGAUGGAACCUUAGCCACAGCAUAAAAAAUACAACCAUAAGAACUUACAAUGCAGAGAAAUGCACUGAUUGCUAAAAGUCCACUCAAAGCCAUCAUCAGACUCUCAUUGAGGUAUGUAUCAGAGCAGGAAAGCAAUAAGAGAGGCCCAAAGUCACAGAAAAAAUGAGGAAUCUCUUGAUUGUUAUGAAAAUAUAACUUAGAGAACAACAAAGUAUGGGUCAGAGACACACAAUGAGCUACUCCCCAUGACCCACUGACCAGAACUCUACAUCUACAAGGAGUCAUUAGAAGUGGGUACAGCAGUGGGUGGCAGAUAGCAGCAUAGCGGUCAAUAGCCAUGACUGCUAGAAGCAGGUUAUCCAUGUCAGCAAAAACAGCAAAGAAGUACAACUGAGUCAGGCAUCCAGAGAAUGAGAUUGAUCCAUCUCCAGUCCACAGAGCCUCCAGCAUUUUAGGGGCUGUGGUGGUGAUGAAGCAAAGAUCCACGAGUGAGAGCUGACUGAGGAAGAAAUACAUGGGGGUGUGGAGGUGGACAUCAGUGCCAAUAGCUAACAGAAGUAGCAGGUUCCCUAAAAGGCCCAGCAAGUAGAGAACAAGGAAGAUGCUAAAGAGGGGCUGCCAUUUCUCUGCAUCACUAGACAGUCCCAAGAGGAUGAAUGUAGGAGCCUGACUGCAGUUCAUCGUGGGUCUUGUAUUUCAAGAAGAAAUUGGUGUGAAGACAAUAUAUUUGCUGCAGGCAACAAUGGCAUCAACCCAGACCUGGUCCCUUGGCAAUGUGUCUCCCUCACAACAUUGAGCAAUGGAAACUAGAAUAGCAAAGGGAGGGGCAAGAUUUGGAGUUCAUUAAAAAUGGCUCCCUAGGGAAACAGAAAGACAAUUUGUUGAAUGUUUUCCAGGAAUUCUCUGGGUGAAUGGUUUGCUAUUUAACCACUGUGUUCCAUGAUAGAAUAACAAGUUUCUUGUGAAUCUUUUUGACUGUGAUUCCUUUGAAGAUAGAGGCUGCAUCUCAGUACUUAGUUUAGUGCUUUGCUGAAAGUGCUAUUUCAAUAAAUGUUCCUGCCCAUCUAUAAAG
rnacentral:lncRNA from 1 species